CUUAUUCUCUCACAUCACAACCUCCUCUUUCUUCAUCUUCUUUCUCGCUCUUCUUUUCUUCAAUGCUCCGCUAUGUUUUUUCUCUGAUUUGAAGGAGGUUCGAUCGAUUUCUAUUUUUUUCUCUCUCACCGUCGACGCUAUUCAAUGGUCCGCUACCACACUUUCUCUGAUUUGAAGGAGGGUCGAUCGAUUUAUGAGCCAAUCACCGUCGAGGUUUUCGUUUUAGGGAGUAUCUCAAGCACCUACAGAAGUUAAUUUGAAGCGUUUUGUUAAAGAGCUAAAUCUGGAUAUCGACAUAUCGUUGAAGCUGAAAAAAAAGGAUUCAAUUCCAUCAAGAAAAGGGUGGCAGACAACUUCUUAGGGUUAUGAGAUUUGAGUUUGAGUUCCAGAUUUGAAGUUGGUUUCGAUCCAAAAACCAGAUUUAAAGUCCGUUUUGGUUCCAGAUUUUUGUUGUGGAGUUUAAAGUGUACAUGUAAUUAUAUGAGAUUUGUAUUAGAUUUUGUUCGAACUAUAAUAAAAUUUAGUUGUAGAAUUUUUUUUUCACUUGUAAUUACAUUUAUUAUCAAUAAUAAUUGAAUUGAUUAA